rnacentral:rRNA from 1 species
GACGAACGCUGGCGGCGUGCCUAAUACAUGCAAGUAGAACGCUGAAGAGAGGAGCUUGCUCUUCUUGGAUGAGUUGCGAACGGGUGAGUAACGCGUAGGUAACCUGCCUUGUAGCGGGGGAUAACUAUUGGAAACGAUAGCUAAUACCGCAUAACAAUGGAUGACCCAUGUCAUUUAUUUGAAAGGGGCAAAUGCUCCACUACAAGAUGGACCUGCGUUGUAUUAGCUAGUAGGUGAGGUAACGGCUCACCUAGGCGACGAUACAUAGCCGACCUGAGAGGGUGAUCGGCCACACUGGGACUGAGACACGGCCCAGACUCCUACGGGAGGCAGCAGUAGGGAAUCUUCGGCAAUGGGGGCAACCCUGACCGAGCAACGCCGCGUGAGUGAAGAAGGUUUUCGGAUCGUAAAGCUCUGUUGUAAGUCAAGAACGAGUGUGAGAGUGGAAAGUUCACACUGUGACGGUAGCUUACCAGAAAGGGACGGCGAACUACGU